AGAUGGAUGNUCCCUUUCGGGGACGCAGUGACAGGUGCUGCAUGGNCUGUCGUCAGCUCGUGUCGUGAGAUGUUCGGUUAAGUCCGGCAACGAGCGCAACCCACAUCCUUAGUUACCAGCGGUUCGGCCGGGAACUCUAAGGAAACUGCCCGUGAUAAGCGGGAGGAAGGUGUGGAUGACGUCAAGUCCUCAUGGCCCUUACGGGUUGGGCUACACACGUGCUACAAUGGCAGUGACAAUGGGUUAAUCCCAAAAAACUGUCUCAGUUCGGAUUGUCGUCUGCAACUCGACGGCAUGAAGUCGGAAUCGCUAGUAAUCGCGUAACAGCAUGACGCGGUGAAUACGUUCCCGGGCCUUGUACACACCGCCCGUCACACCAUGGGAGUUGGGUUUACCCGAAGGCCGUGCGCCAACCUUUCGAGGAGGCAGCGGACCACGGUGAGCUCAGCGACUGGGGUGAAGUCGUAACAAGGUAACCGUA
rnacentral:rRNA from 1 species